CAGACAUCACCGACUGAGCAUAUCGAACAAAAAUACCAUUUUUAUAGCAAUCAUUUUAACAUUUACUGUUAAAAUAAUAUUUUAUAUAUAAGAAUGACAUAUCGCCUACAUAUUAUAUAGAAAAAGAAUACUUUUAUAAAUAAUUUUAAGAACAAAUGAGCUUAUCAAGUAUUAAUAGAGAAAGACUAUCGUCAAGAAGCAUGGCGUUCCUAAGUAUGAGAAGUAGUUUGAGGAUAUUAUGGGCUGCGGCGUCAGCGCUGGUCUUCCUGACGAGGAGUAGUGCGGCACCGGCUUUUGGAGAAACUAAUAAGGCAAUGAUGUAUUUGGCGCAAUAUGGUUACCUCAGUCCGUCUGUACGGAAUCCCUCCAGUGGUCAUAUCAUGGAUGAGAGUUCUUGGAGACGAGCUAUAUCGGAGUUCCAAAGCUUUGCUGGACUGAACAAUACUGGUGAACUCGACGAAGAAACGAAAAAGUUAAUGUCGUUGCCACGGUGUGGGGUGAAAGAUAAAGUCGGCUUUGGGGAAAGUCGUGCCAAGAGAUACGCGUUGCAAGGUUCGAGGUGGCGUGUAAAGAACCUGACAUACAAGAUCUCGAAAUAUCCAUCUCGUCUGAACCGCGCUGAAGUCGACACUGAACUCGCGAAAGCCUUCUCCGUAUGGUCCGACUACACAGACCUUACCUUUACACAGAAACGCUCCGGACAAGUUCAUAUUGAAAUCAGAUUCGAAAAAGGCGAGCACGGUGACGGCGACCCCUUCGACGGUCCCGGUGGUACCCUCGCCCACGCCUACUUCCCGGUCUAUGGUGGAGAUGCUCACUUUGACGACGCUGAAGUGUGGUCAAUUAAUUCCAGAAGGGGAACCAAUCUUUUCCAAGUAGCAGCUCACGAGUUCGGUCAUUCUCUUGGUCUGUCUCACAGUGACGUACGCUCAGCUUUAAUGGCACCCUUCUACCGUGGAUUUGACCCCUCUUUCCAGCUUGACCAGGAUGACAUACAAGGAAUACAGGCACUUUACGGCCACAAGACACAAAUCGAUAUUGGUGGUGGUGCUGCACCCAACCCAUCGAUUCCUCGAAUCACCACUCCACAGCCAUCCUCAGAAGACCCCGCUCUGUGCGCUGAUCCUAAUAUCGACACCAUAUUCAACUCUGCCGAUGGAUCUACAUUUAUUUUCAAAGGUGACUAUUACUGGCGGCUGACGGAGAGCGGCGUGGCGGCGGGAUACCCGCGCGCCAUCAGCCGCGCGUGGCCCGGCCUGCCCGGCAACAUCGACGCUGCGUUCACUUACAAGAACGGAAAAACCUACUUCUUCAAGGGAUCCAAGUACUGGAGGUACAAUGGUCAGAAGAUGGACGGGGAGUACCCAAAAGAUAUAAGCGAAGGUUUUACUGGUAUUCCUGAUAACUUGGAUGCAGCUCUUGUGUGGUCAGGCAAUGGCAAAAUUUACUUCUAUAAGGGUUCCAAGUUCUGGAGGUUCGACCCAGCUCAACGUCCUCCUGUCAAGUCAACCUACCCCAAGCCUUUAUCAAACUGGGAGGGUAUCCCUGAUAACAUAGAUGCAGCACUACAGUACACUAAUGGCUACACAUACUUCUUCAAGGGUGGAUCCUAUUGGCGAUUUAAUGACAGAACUUUCAGUGUGGACACAGACAACCCUUCGUUCCCGCGGUCCACCGCGUACUGGUGGCUCGGCUGCAGCAGCGCGCCGCGAGGGACCGUCGGAGGUAACGCGCGCCUCUCUGCACCUUCGCCUUCUGAGGAGGACGAUGUCGGCGACAUACAAUUCGACGCAGGUGUAAAAUCAUCCGCUCCCAGAUCAUUCUUCUGGUUCAGGAAAUAGCCUCGGUGGAGAGUUCCUGAACAUUUGUACAUAGACAAAUAAUAUAAAGAACAAAGACUAAAUUAGUAAAAUAGGGGAUUAUAUGAAUACCAGUGAGAUUAUAGAAAUAAGCGGUGAUUUUAAUACCGGCGAGUUUCUCACGCGAUGCCUUGAUCAGCGUUCAGUCAGGCGGAGCUAGACUGUAGUAAUGACUCGGGGCUCCGAUAUAUUAGGAGGGCACGAAACGUCCUCCGCCGCGUCAUCACUCACCCGCAUCGUAGAUUCGGGGGAGCCGACGGGUGGCAGCGGCGCGGCGCACUCGUGGCGCUCCUCGGGCGUGCUACUGGCGGCGGUGCUGACUCUGCUGAAUCUGAUCCACGCGCGCAUUUAGCGCCUCCACCGCGUCUCCACUGUGAU